rnacentral:lncRNA from 1 species
UUCCAGGGUCACAGCCUGAACCAAUGGGUGGGCUCUGUGAGUGUGAGUGCGGCGGCGCGGCGGUACGAACGGGGGAGGGACACAUUCCUCAGCUCGGCUCGGUCUGCGCGCUGCUACCGGGAGGGAAGCUGAGGUGAUAGACCAACAGGCAGCCACCAGACUUUCUGAACUCUGGCUUUAAGAAAAAAUGCAGUGGGCACAGAAUGAAACAGAAGAGGAUCCUUCUGAAGAUGAGGAAGCCUUUUCGUUGUAUGUUUGAAGGAAUGCUAGCACAGGUUACUCAGAUGUUGUGGAAGCCUGUCUUUGGAAAUCUUCAGAAGCUACCUGGAUAUGGGUCUAGGCAACAUGCUCUGGGUGUCCCUGCUCUUGAAGCAGAUGAAUACAGAGAUAUUCUUUAACAUGAGCCAUUCUGUGAUUCUAUUAUUCAUGUGAAUGAGUAGCAAUAAUACACUUUGUUUGAAAGUCACUGUAAUGGUCAUGAAUCAGAGUUGGGGCUAAUAAUGAAGGAAGAAUGAAAGAAAUCAGUGUUCUUAAGUGUUGUGAAAAUCUGAGAGCUGUUUUGAAGAUCAUUACAUUUCUGUUUUGCUAGUUAAAAAUUACUGCCUAUAUGUCCUCUAUGAAACAAACAAACCACGCAUAACUAAAUAUUUGUUUGAAGCUUUGUAUCUAUUUGCAAUGCUGUAGGUUUUCUUACGUAAAAAUACAUCAAGAGUUUUACCAGACCCCAGAAGUCUUAUGGAUUUCAAUUACUUUCCUGCAUGCACACACAUAAACAAAUAAUGUAUGCUUUUAAUCUAACUUUCUAUGAAGGGGCAUGGUUUUAGAUCUUUGGUUUGUUUUUAUCAGCUCCUAACAUUUUCCAGUUAUGCAUAAAAUGGUUUGAAACCAGAGUGAAUAGCUUCAGUUAGUUUUUUCAUGUUAUACUCUUAGAUGACAUGUCUAAAAGCUUUGGAUAUGCCAACUCAUUAUUUCAUUUUAGAAAUUGGAUUUUGAGCCCUGGUCAUAACUGUCUGGC